rnacentral:rRNA from 1 species
AUUGAACGCUGGCGGCGUGCUUUACACAUGCAAGUCGGACGAGUGGCGGACGGGUGAGUAACGCCUCGGAACGUACCGAGUAGUGGGGGAUAACUGUCCGAAAGGAUAGCUAAUACCGCAUACUAUUCGAUCUGCCGAUGUCUGAUUAGCUGGUUGGCGGGGUAAAGGCUCACCAAGGCGACGAUCAGUAGCGGGUCUGAGAGGAUGAUCCGCCACACUGGAACUGAGACACGGUCCAGACUCCUACGGGAGGCAGCAGUGGGGAAUAUUGCGCAAUGGGGGCAACCCUGACGCAGCCAUGCCGCGUGAAUGAAGAAGGCCUUCGGGUUGUAAAGUUCUUUCGGUGGCGAGGCGUUAACUGCAGAAGAAGCACCGGCUAACUCCGUGCCAGCAGCCGCGGUAAUUC